ACUAGAGCUUUUCCUAAUGAAUACGAAAGCUGUGAUGUAGAACGUGUGGGUAUUUCCUUUUGGAAAGCAGAAAUACCUGUUCCUGGCUCAUCCUUGUCUACGCAGAUCAACAAAGUCCUUUCUCACUGCUGUGGCCUCUCGUGUCUAAGGCCUUGGAAGCCUUGAGGGAAAGCCUGAAGGGUUUUGAAGUGUGGAGGGUUACUGUCAUAUUUGGCCUAGGAAAAGCGGUUUUAUUGCUUUCUAGUAUGGAAUUUCUCUUUCUCAGAAUUUCAGAGAAGGCAAAUGUCAGACAGGAAGCCAAGAAAGAAGUGAAAGGAAGCCUGGCCUAUGUGUCUUCUCUCUAGCCAUGGAUUUGCAGCUGGACUCCUGAAGCCACCCGUCUCUACUAAAAGGACAGCAACACACACCAGCAGCUGAAUCAUGUGCAGCUUUGAGACAGAACAAGGGAGUGCAGUGAAAUAUAACAGAGGGGCUACACACCGUGGAUAUGGCAGAGGGGGAUGAAACUGGCGGCCUAAUAGAGGUCUGGUGUGAGUUCAUGUUAUAUAAAAUAUAAGAAUGGAUUUUAGGAACAGUGGUUUAAAAGCAGAGUGUAUUUAUUGAGAGAAAGAAAGCUUCUGUCUAAGACAGACAGACAGAAGUGGUCCUGAGUGGGUUGCCAAAGACUGUCUUUUCUAAGGGACUUUUAGAGUAAAACCAAAAAGUGAGGCGGUCUAAGGUGGGGAAACAUGAGAACCCUUAAAGUGGGUAUGAGGAGGGACAAGCCUAUGGUCAAACUAAAGAGGAUGCGUGUAACUGCUCAGGUGAAAUUGAUUAAAUCAGAAUCAAAUGGAAAAGUGAGUCAUAGCAAGCUGGCAUGAAUAUAGGACAGUGACUUCCUGAAGCUGGUUGGGAUGGUGACUCCUGGCUUCCCCAGAGGGAUAGAGACCUAUUUAGAAUAUCAUUUCCUGAUGCCUAUCCUUAGGAAAUAAGUGGAUACAUUUGAUUUAUCUUUCUCUUGAGGUCUGGCCCACAGUGGAGGUGUCUGUCUCCCUUACAGUUGCAAGGUAUCUGGUCUUGUGCACUGGUUCCUUGGAGGGCCCAGCCCUGUCGGACUGCCUAGAAUAUUUCUAACUCCCUUGCCUGUAGUAAUGCACCCUCUGAAGAAGUAACUCAAAUUGCCACGAGGGGUUGUAGUUGUUGAUAGGCAGCCAAGGAUACUCUGUAUAGGAUCUAUCUAGAGACCCGCAAUACACACCAGGCAUUUUUGUCUUGGGUAAGCAUACAGCUUGAAGUCUGGAGAAGACAAAGGCAAAGAAACAAUUAAAUAUACUGGGUCCAAAUAUAAUUAUUAGGAUAUGUAUGAGUACAGUUAACAAAAAUUUCCAUCAAGAGGAACUAGUAAUGGCUUCUCAUAGGGAGGAUAAGGAUAAAGUCCAGGAAAUUUUAGAGUUUGACAUAUAAUUGAUUUGUCAUCUAAUAUCUUGAACAGCUAUUGAGAUAUUAGCAGAAGGAUUAGGAAUGUACCCACAACAUUUAGGUUUUACAACUGUACAAGUGUCUCCUGUGCUGUUAGAAUGUCUGGCCAUUUGAUUUUGGAGUGUGGCUUGUCUCUUUAAUUUUACUUUUUUCAUUGAGGAAAGAGAGACCAGAUGUGGUGACAUUUAAGGCUCACUGAGUAUGUUAGGGUACAAUUAUAAUGUAGGAACACAUUUAUGAGAUGGCAAACUUAGAGAUAUUUUAUGAUUAAUUAGAGGCCUCUCACCAAGUUACUGUUUCUGCUGUUUCUGCUAAAUUCUAUUGACCUUGAUGGUGUCUACAACAGCUGCACACCUAUGAUAAGUACUGAGUCAAAGUAAUAGUCUAUACCUUCAGGCACCCUGGGCUAAUUCCGGGCCCCUCCCCAGAAUGUCCCUUUAUUAUGAUUAUACCUUAACUAUGCUCAUUCUGUAGGGCUCACCCCAAUAUUUCUAUAUGAUGGUAAUGCCCUUAGUUGUGCUUAUCCUGUAAGGAUCCCCUUCCCUUAUCCCUGGAAUGUUUCUAUAUUAUAAUGGACCCAAGAGUCAGAUUUAAGGUCUGUUUCUUUUAAGCAGCUACUAUUUGGUCUCUUGGUUUUCUCUCUCUGGCUUUCUCACAGUCCCAAUUACAGAAUACUAAGAAGGCAAUUUUUACUGAAAUAUCAAGUGAAAUUUCUGUGACUUUUCCUAAUGUCUGGGGUUGAUGGGUAAUAAACACAUCUUUAAGUGAAA